UGAUGCUUCGUUGCACAUCAAGAAGGGGAUAAGACGGCCAUCGCUGCAGCGAAGAGCUCGCGCAGGAAGAAGGAGCAGCAACAACAGCAGCAGCAGCAGGCGAUGCCUUGGGUGAAGCUGCUUUCGCGGUCCUCACAAGUACAUGGGAAAAAAAACUAUAGUGUGUAAUUAGGAGUUCUUUAUGGUAUGGGUAUUGCAGGGUUGGAAGUUAAAUCUGGGGCUUUUGGAUACUGAACUCUAAAGAUUCAAUCUUGACGAUGCCUUGGGUAGAAUUUAGUGUACAUGUGGUGUCUGUAUGAGCUUUUGGAUGCUGUUCUUUGUAAAGAUUCAAUCUUGAAGAUAUUUAGAAUGGAAGUUAGUAUUCGUGUGGUG
rnacentral:sRNA from 1 species